rnacentral:rRNA from 1 species
UCCACCGUGCACGGCACAUGUUCUCAGAGUCGCGUUCCUCGGAAUUGGAGCGUAAAGUGGGUGGUAAAUUUCAUCUAAAGCUAAAUAUAGGCUUGAGACCGAUAGCAAACAAGUACCAUGAGGGAAAGAUGAAAAGGACUUUGAAAAGAGAGUUAAAAGUGCUUGAAAUCGCUGAAAGGGAAGCGAAUGGAACCAGUCUUCUGGCUGAGAUUGUUGCGUGCUACUGUGAUGCCUGGCUGCUUCAACGCAAGUGUUGCAGUUAGAGUUGAUCAGCUGUGCGUGAUGUUUCUCAGCUUGUUAGUCAACCUUUGUUCGUGCUUGGGGAUAACUGCAGGUACCAUGCUCUUCCCUGCGGGGUUGAUCUCGUGCUUGUUAGGACUCAGGUGUGUACACUUGGUGACAAAAUGGUUCUCUUCGACCCGUCUUGAAACACGGACCAAGGAGUCUAGCACAUGUGCAAGUUCACAGGUGGCAAGCCUGCUUGCGCAAUGAAGGUGACUGCUGGGAUAUUUGCACCAGCAACCGACCAAUCAAUUGAGAGAAGUUUGAGUAUGAGCAUAUGUGUUAGG